AUCGCUUGUGUCUUGUUUGGUAAUGGAAGACAGCGACCAAACAAGGAAUGAUGGAAAGGUCUUGCAUUUGUCCAGGAUGAGAUAUGUGCAUGGUGCUUUAUUAGAGUUCAUGUCGCUUGCUAUGGAAUGGCCUGAGUUAUAUUGGGGUCAAUGGCUUGGUGAAGUGUCUUUUGGUUGAUGGAUGCCUGUAAUUCUGAGGCUUUUCAAAGCAGUUUUGGUCAUGGUCUGGUCUUUUGCAUGGGAAUGUAACCCACGUAACUGCCUGCUACUCAAUAGAGUUUUGCAUGGGAAUGCAAUCGACGUAACUGCCAGCUACUCAACAACGUAGCGCAUGACAAUGUAUUAGGUGUUAUUGUUACUGUUUCUAUUGUUUCAUAGGAGAUUUUGCUGAACAUGGCAUUUUAGUUGAUCUGAUUGAAGAGGUACGUUCUGAGAUGACUAAAUGGUAGAAUGCCCAGAAAUCACUGAACAUUAUUUCUUCCUGUGACCGAUCUUUAAAAGACUUUUUUGCUGAAACCAUAAGUAUCGAUUUCUUCAGGUCUGUUGCACCCUCGGGGAGAUUGCUUGUUGGGAUAAAAGGUCUGAUAAGGCUUGUGCUUUCAAAUAUGCUAAACCUAGUCACACCGCUUGGAGGUGUAGGUUACUCAAUGGCUGAUCAAUGUAGUGUAGGUUACUAAAUGGCUGAUCGAUGUAAAAGUGGCUUAACUUUUUAAUAUAGACACAAUAAAAAAAUGUCUCUACUUUCGAUCAGAACUAUGUAUAUGUUACCUUAGUUCAAAUAAGGUAUCUCUACAGUUAUUUACUAAUAGUCUUGUUCUCUAAAAUAAUCUUAAUUCAUUAAGGAAGAUACUAAGAACGGAAGCUCCUCAGAUGGAGGAGCUUGUAAUAGGCUGCAUUCUGUACUAAACAAAUAGAACAUAUACGACAUUAUUAAGGUUGCUCAUGAACUUAUCGAGGUCUGUUAUGUUGGUGGAGGUUUUGAA